rnacentral:misc_RNA from 1 species
GAUGAAGAACGUAGUGAAAUGCGAUACGUAGUGUGAAUUGCAGAAUUCAGUGAAUCAUCGAAUCUUUGAACGCACAUUGCACCUCUCGGUAUUCCGGGAGGUAUGCCUGUUCGAGCAUCAUUUGUACCCUCAAGCUCUGCUUGGUGUUGGGUGUUUGUUCCGCCUCUGUGUGUGAACUCGCCUCAAAACAAUUGGCAGCCGGCGUACUUGUUUCGGAGCGCAGCACAUUUUGCGAUCCAGAUCAACGUACAGCGGCAUCCAAGAAGCCUUAUUUAACGCUCUUGACCUCGGAUCAGGUAGGGAUACCCGCUGAACUUAAGCAUAUCAAUAAGCGGAGGA